rnacentral:tRNA from 1 species
AAGCUUAGCUCAGUUGGUAGAGCUUCUGCCUUACAAGCAGGGGGUCAUAGGUUCGAGUCCUAUAGCUUCC